GACGAACGCUGGCGGCGUGCUUAACACAUGCAAGUCGAACGGAAAGGCCCGCUUGCGGGUACUCGAGUGGCGAACGGGUGAGUAACACGUGGGCAACCUGCCCUCAGCUCUGGGAUAACUCCGGAAACCGGUGCUAAUACUGGAUACGACUGCGCAUCGCAUGGUGUGUGGUGGAAAGUUUUUCGGCUGAGGAUGGGCCCGCGGCCUAUCAGCUUGUUGGUGGGGUAAUGGCCUACCAAGGCGACGACGGGUAGCCGGCCUGAGGGGGCGACCGGCCACACUGGGACUGAGACACGGCCCAGACUCCUACGGGAGGCAGCAGUGGGGAAUAUUGCGCAAUGGGCGAAAGCCUGACGCAGCGACGCCGCGUGAGGGAUGACGGCCUUCGGGUUGUAAACCUCUUUCAGCUCUGACGAAGCGAAAGUGACGGUAGGAGCAGAAGAAGCACCGGCCAACUACGUGCCAGCAGCCGCCGUAA
rnacentral:rRNA from 1 species